AGAAAGCCUUGUUAGGUUGUAAAUCACUUUGUAAAAUACAUUAAAAUUUUUAGAAAAAAUUUUACAAUCAAAGCUCCGGCUAAUUUCGUGCCAGCAGCCGCGGUAAAACGGGAGGAGCAAGUAUUAUUCUAAUUGACUGGGCGUAAAGGGUGCGUAGGUGGUGUAUCAAGUAGCAAAAAAAUUUUAAAUUUUAUGUUUAUAACAAAUUACUAAACUAAUUCACUAGAGCAUAGGAAAAGAUUUUGGAACUUCGAAAGUAGUAAUAAAAUACGAUGAUAUUCAAAAGAACAUCAAAAGUGAAAACAAUAAUCUGGACUAUAGCUGACACUAAGGCACGAAAGCGUAGGUAUCAAAAGGGAUUAGAUACCCCUGUAGUCUACGCCCUCAACGAUGAGUGUUUGUUUUUGAAUAAGUUUUCAGAGGCGAAGCUAAGGCAUUAAACACUUCGCCUGGGGACUACGGUCGCAAGAUUAAAACUCAAAGGAAUUGACGGGAACCCGCACAAGCGGUGGAGCAUGUGGUUUAAAUCGAAAAAACGCGCAAAACCUUACCAAUUUUUGUAUAGCAUUUUUGUUACAGGUGUUGCAUGGCUGUCGUCAGUCCGUGCCGUGAGGCGUUUGGUUAAUUCCAGCAAACGGACGAAACUUUUAUAUAAUAUAUUCAUAUAUUAUAAACUGCUCGGAAUAUCCUUGAGGAAGGAAAAAAUGACGUCAAGUCCGCAUGACCCUUAUGAAUUGGGCUACUUUCAUGUGCUACAAAGUAAUAUUUACAAUAAGAAGCAAAAGCGUGAGCUGGAGCAAAAUCUUUAAAAAAUAUUUAAUUCGGAUUAUUCUCUGCAACUCGAGAAUAUGAAGUCGUAAUCGCUAGUAAUCGUGAAUCAGAAUUGUCGCGGUGAAUAAGUUCUCGGGUUUUGUACACACCGCCCGUCACACUAUGGGAAUUUACUCUACUUGAAGAUAAAAAUGUUUAAUUUUUUUCCAUGGUAGAGGAAGGACUAGAGUGAAGUCGUAACAAGGUAACCGUAGGGGAACCUGCGGUUG
rnacentral:rRNA from 1 species